rnacentral:pre_miRNA from 1 species
AAAUUACUCCCUCCGUCCCAAAAUUCUAGUCUUAGAUUUGUCUAGAUACGGAUGUAUCAAGUCAAAUUUUAGUAUUAGAUACAUCCGUAUCUAGACAAAUCUAAGACAAGAAAUUUGGGACAGAGGGAGUAGUUG